rnacentral:lncRNA from 1 species
UUGUUUAUGCCUGUACCAAGUAAGAAAUGUGACAGUUGUUAUCCAUUCGUUUGAUGUGUUUGGGCUUUUGAUUUUGCCAUUUGAUUAGGGACUUUCCGUUUUGAAUUUUCCACGGAGUUCGGUAUUUUUGUUAUUUUAAUUCUUAAUGGUAUUGACAGUGUAUAAAAAUUCAAACUUUUUUGUCGUGCUGUAGAAUAGCAUCGAUCAUUCUGAAUUAUAAGUUAUUUAUCAAGCC